rnacentral:rRNA from 1 species
UACGAAGGGGGCUAGCGUUGCUCGGAAUUACUGGGCGUAAAGGGCGCGUAGGCGGCCUGCUAAGUCGAACGUGAAAUCCCUGGGCUCAACCCAGGAACUGCGUCCGAUACUGGUUGGCUUGAAUCCGGGAGAGGGACGUGGAAUUCCAGGUGUAGCGGUGAAAUGCGUAGAUAUCUGGAGGAACACCGGUGGCGAAGGCGACGCCUGGACCGGCAUGACGCUGAGGCGCGAAAGCCAGGGGAGUAACGGG